ensembl:snRNA
UAAAAGGGCUUCAACAACGUCAGUGUUUCGGAUGACAACCUUAACUGGGCGUUAUCCGCGGAAUCUAAAUCAAGAGAUUUCGGAAGCACAAUUUUUAUAACAGGGAAUACUGGUAACCACUCGUUCCAGUGUCCCG